rnacentral:pre_miRNA from 1 species
ACACGAAUCACUUGGGGAACUUGUUAAACUGCAGAUUCUGAUUCAAGAAGUCUGGGGUGGGGGCAGAAAUUUUGCAUUUCUAACAAGCUCCCAGGUGAUGCCGAC